GGAUGAAGACUGGAUGAUUUUAGGACUUGAACGGUUGGCUUAUAUACCCGAGUGAAACUAGGAAAAACAAAUUGGGGAGGAAGGAAAGAAAAAAAAAAUGAUGCUGAUUGGCUUCAGCCCAUAACGCUCUUACCGAUAUACCUGCCCGCCCAACUGCUCCGCCCCGUGAACAUGGUGCUCGUGUCUUCAUACCUAGCCAUAGCCGCAGGAUGGAGGUGCCCUCACUGUUUUGUUUUUAUAGCUUUGAAGCAAAAAAGUGUACCAAUGUCCUUGCUAAUACCUUUUGACGCCCAGAAAAGUGAAUCGCGAAUACGCUAAUCCGCAAAUCAGCACGCACCGAAUAGAACAGAGAGAAACAAAAAAACAUGACAUUGGGCCUACAUAAACGCCUGGAGUUCAUAAUCCAGGUCGAAGACCUCAAAUUGGGACUAGGUAAACUUGUAUGAGGAACAGUAAAAUUCUUAAGAAAUAGCAGGUGGCUCUAAAUUAGCCAUAUGUUUUGGCAGACGAGCUAAUAGAAAAGGAAACAAAGCGGUUCCACCCUAUGCCUUAAGAGUAUUUCCUAUCAGUGUUGGAGAAACGGAAUGAAAUGAGAACAGCCAUCGUUCAUAUCAAGACGUGGCCUAUAGUAACGCAAGUUUAUACGUAUCCAACAGGCAACAGGAGCAAAAGGUUGGUCUCAUUCUUAACUCCAAAUUAUAACAGAAGUGAUGGCCGAAUAGAAAUUGUGUCGAAUAAGCGGUUGCUCUAGGCUUGGUUGUAAAUGAUGUCAUUUAAUAACGACAUCCUUUUUCCUGGAACCAAGUUAUACCUUGACUCUUUCCCCAACGAUUCCGGUUUAGCUGAAUCGUUCAACCCAGAUUCAAAAUUUAGACGUUUAUCGGUGAACGAAUCGGCACGGAUAUAAAACCAUAAAAAAGAAAUCGUUCAAACGUGAUUUUAAUUUUUUUAAAUUAUUUUAUAUUUCAUGAUCGCAGGAAAUACAAAACUUUUUUGGCAACAAGCCGCGGAGUCCAGCCGCAUUUGUUGUCAUCAAAUACAUAUAUUAUAAUUGUUUUUUCUUUUUCUUUCUCAGGUGAUGGUGAGUCUUGAG